GCUUUCAGGAGCAGCGCACCUGUCCCGGCUCCUGGGCUGGGCUGUGGUGAGCCAGGCCCAGAGGUGGAGGCCAGCUUUACACAGCUUCUAGAAUGUGAGUGACCUUGCAUGUCCACUUACCUGGUAAAAUGAGGCUUUUGUGUGAUGUUUCACUUGGGGCCAACAUUUGUUAACCUCUCCUCUGUUCUCCCGCCCAGGCUCGCCCACUCUUGUUAAAGAUCGCUGGGGAAGUGGAACAGUCGUCUCAGUUUCUGUCACUCUGAGCUGACUUGAGUCAAACACACCAGACCACGGGAAAGGAGCACGUUGCUCAGCAGUUCCACCAGAAGAGGAAUGGGCACUCCAGAGUCUACCUGAGUCAAGCUGGCAGCCUGGUGCUCGCUCGUUCCCCAGCGUCCCAGUGUCCCGUGUGCACAGCUGUAAGGUGAUGUUGCACCUGAAUUAUGUCAACAGCUUCUCCAGGGCUCGCUCAGAUGUGUUCGUCCAUGGCUCUCAGGCCCACUGGAUCUCUCUUCAGUGUCCUGUGCUGAGUCUUCAUGAAUUCUGGCUGAUUUCCCGCCCACUGCAGCCACCACAGGACACCCCUCUAGACAGCCUCCGCGUCAGCAGGCUCUUCACUGGGGCUCAGCACGGCCCCACUUCUUGCCCUGGCCUGGCUUGAGGAGACAGAGUGCCGCAUGCCCACACGCUGUUCCUCAAGAGAAGGGCCAUCUCCUGAACUGCAAGCUCUUCAGAGGGUGCAGGUUAGAGACUCAAAGCGGUCUGUGCCUUCUUGUCCCAUCUCCUGGGCCUGUUACAGGGCUCAUGGAAAACCGAUGCUUCCUCUUUGCAAGAGGCUCCUUCUGCCCCCCAUAGGGCUGACCCCACAGGGUGGGAAUUCGUGCCCUGGGCAUCUGCGAGAUGGGAGAGGCAGGCACACACAGCCAUGGGUCAGCCCUUUCUAGCUCCCCGGGCUCUGGAUAGGUGCAUAGCUCCUCAAGCUGAAAGGUCUGGAGAGUGGACAGUCUGCAGGAGGGCUGCCAGGGCUUGGUCUUUGCAAGCAGAGCAGGACCUCAGAAACUGCCCUGGAGGGGCCUCUUCCCACUCCUGCAACUUGAUUAAGGAACUUCUGGGCUUCCUAACAUCAAGUCAGCUAUGUUGCCCUGUGAUUCAGUCACCCUCAAAAGCCCCACCUACGAACAUGUGAGGCUCUUGGGAAACAUCUAGAUUUAAACCACGACACGUAUACACUGAAAAUAAUAUGUAAUAAAUAAUACGGUUUCUGGUGGGGUCAGUGGGGACAGCGCAGGUGUUCCACCUGGGAGAAGUUCGCUGGGGUCCAGGCCACGUUAGUGCCUCCACUCCCCAAGUGUUCUGCAGAGAGUUUUCCCCUAGGUCGAGAACCCCUGGAGGUCAGGGACACCUUAGACUUGUCUCAGCUUUCUUGGCACCAGGAACGGUGCCUAACACGUCCAGAUGGAGAUUGGCCCAUUCGUGUGACCAGUCAGUGACAGACCCAGGUGGGGGCUGCCCUCAGAGCCGAGAUGCUGGCUCCCCACGGCUGGCACAUCUGGGCACCACUGCCCCGCGCUGUGGCUCAUUCUUUCCACAGAAACACAGGAGCCACACAGCAAGGUUUCUGGGAC